rnacentral:rRNA from 1 species
UGAGAACUAGGUGUAGCGGGUAUUGACCCCUGCUGUGCCGUAGGCUAACGCAUUAAGUUCUCCCGCCUGGGGAGUACGGCCGCAAGGCUAAAACUCAAAGGAAUUAACGGGGGCCCGCACAAGCGGUGGAGCAUGUGGUUUAAUUCGACGCAACGCGAAGAACCCUACCUGGGUUUGACAUCCUCUGACCGCCCCGGAAACGGGGUUUUCCCGACUCUGUCGGGACAGAGUGACAGGUGCUGCAUGGCUGUCGUCAGCUCGUGUCGUGAGAUGUUGGGUUAAGUCCCGCAACGAGCGCAACCCUUGUCUUUAGUUGCCAGUAUUCCGGUUAGGCACUCUAAAGAGACUGCCUCGGUUAACGAGGAGGAAGGUGGGGAUGACGUCAAGUCCUCAUGGCCUUUAUACCCAGGGCU